UUUUACAAUCCAUAUCUAAUUCGCAAGUUUCAUUCUUUCUGAAAAACAAUUACUAGGUUUUGAAGUUCAUUGUGCAUUUACUCAACUGUCUCUUCACAUUAAUGUAAAGUGGGAACAAGGAAAAAAUAGAGUCAGCAGGGAAGGGACAUCAAACGAACUUAGGAUAGAUGAAGGCUUUAUUUUAAAAGUAAUAUAAUUACAGAUUUGUGUAAUGUUUUACAAUACAUUUAAAUGCAGAGUUGCAUCCUUACACACCAGAAAGGUAUUAGCUAUUUGUCUCUAGAGCUGAAACUCUGGUAAAUUCAAACGACUAACAUGAAAACAACCACAGAAUCUCCCACUGAUGACUUCAAACAAAAAGCUAAACAGAACUCAUCCUUUCACCAGGCGAGCCAUUUGGCC
rnacentral:lncRNA from 11 species